GACGAACGCUGGCGGCGUGCUUAACACAUGCAAGUCGAACGGAAAGGCCCUGCUUUUGUGGGGUGCUCGAGUGGCGAACGGGUGAGUAACACGUGAGUAACCUGCCCUGACUUUGGGAUAACUUCAGGAAACUGGGGCUAAUACCGGAUAGGAGCUCCUGCUGCAUGGUGGGGGUUGGAAAGUUUCGGCGGUUGGGGAUGGACUCGCGGCUUAUCAGCUUGUUGGUGGGGUAGUGGCUUACCAAGGCCUUGACGGGUAGCCGGCCUGAGAGGGUGACCGGCCACAUUGGGACUGAGAUACGGCCCAGACUCCUACGGGAGGCAGCAGUGGGGAAUAUUGCACAAUGGGCGGAAGCCUGAUGCAGCAACGCCGCGUGCGGGAUGACGGCCUUCGGGUUGUAAACCGCUUUCGCCUGUGACGAAGCGUGAGUGACGGUAAUGGGUAAAGAAGCACCGGCUAACUACGUG
rnacentral:rRNA from 1 species